AUAAGCAAUUGUAUAAGAUACUUACAGAUUGCAGUAAGUGGUAAAAAAUAUAACAUGAAGAGGGAAUAGUGAUGAGAAGGUAACUAUAUAGGGGAGUGGUCAGGGAGUGCUUCACUGAAGAUGUAAAAUAUGAACUGAAACCUAUAUCCUGAUUUAAAAUAGCUUUGCAGAUGUUUUAGGUAAAUAGCAGCAAGCGAACAAUACCAAAGGGUGAGACUAUGACUUCAUUGCUUUGAGCUGUGGAAACAAUGAUAUGGGGGGAAUCAGAGCUAUUUCCAUGAAUUAAUGUCUUAAUCCCCACAACAAUGAGGUCGUGGUCAUCUAGUUGGAGAAUGACUCCUGCCUGCUACAUUUCCCCAGAUACCCAGGACCUUCAUGCUGUCACUCUCCAUGACCUGACCAACAUCUAUUUUGAGAAAUUAUUUUAUAUACUCAUUCAAACAGGUUACUUAUUGGUUAUUUAGAAAUUCUGGAUAAAGACUCACAAGUCAAGCGGGGGUGAUGGAAGAUAUUGAAAUGUCUCCCCGUGGCAUAUUC
rnacentral:lncRNA from 10 species